GAUGAACGCUGGCGGCGUGCCUAAUACAUGCAAGUCGAGCGAACAGACGAGGAGCUUGCUCCUCUGACGUUAGCGGCGGACGGGUGAGUAACACGUGGAUAACCUACCUAUAAGACUGGGAUAACUUCGGGAAACCGGAGCUAAUACCGGAUAAUAUAUUGAACCGCAUGGUUCAAUAGUGAAAGACGGUUUUGCUGUCACUUAUAGAUGGAUCCGCGCCGCAUUAGCUAGUUGGUAAGGUAACGGCUUACCAAGGCAACGAUGCGUAGCCGACCUGAGAGGGUGAUCGCCCACACUGGAACUGAGACACAGUCCAGACUCCUACGGGAGGCAGCAGUAGGGACUCUUCCGCAAUGGGCGAAAGCCUGACGGAGCAACGCCGCGUGAGUGAUGAAGGUCUUCGGAUCGUAAAACUCUGUUAUUAGGGAAGAACAAAUGUGUAAGUAACUAUGCACGUCUUGACGGUACCUAAUCAGAAAGCCACGGCUAACUACGUG
rnacentral:rRNA from 1 species